AACCUUAUGGACCUGCGGGCGUAUACCUGCGGAAGGAUCAUUAUUGAAUAAACUUGGUCAAGCUGUUGCUGGUCCUUCGGGGCAUGUGCACGCUUGCCACCAAUUUUAACCACCUGUGCACCUUUUGUAGAUUGGAAACGUUUCUCGAGGCAACUCGGAUUGAGGACUGCUGUGCGCAAGCCAGCUGUUCUUGUGUUUCUCAAUCUAUGUUUUCUUAUACUCCUAAUGUAUGUAUCAGAA
rnacentral:misc_RNA from 1 species